AGCAGUAGCCGCGGGAAUACGUAGGGUGCGAGCGUUAAUCGGAAUUACUGGGCGUAAAGCGUGCGCAGGCGGUUCGUUAAGACAGAUGUGAAAUCCCCGGGCUUAACCUGGGAACUGCAUUUGUGACUGACGGGCUAGAGUAUGGCAGAGGGGGGUAGAAUUCCACGUGUAGCAGUGAAAUGCGUAGAGAUGUGGAGGAAUACCGAUGGCGAAGGCAGCCCCCUGGGCCAAUACUGACGCUCAUGCACGAAAGCGUGGGGAGCAAACAGGAUUAGAUACCCCCGUAGUCCCUGUCUCUUAUAC
rnacentral:rRNA from 1 species